UACGGGGGGGGCUAGCGUUGUUCGGAAUUACUGGGCGUAAAGCGCGUGUAGGCGGCCAGAUAGGUCUGCUGUGAAAACUCGAGGCUCAACCUCGAGCUGUCGGCGGAAACCAUCUGGCUAGAGUCCGGAAGAGGAGAGUGGAAUUCCUGGUGUAGCGGUGAAAUGCGCAGAUAUCAGGAAGAACACCUAUGGCGAAGGCAGCUCUCUGGGACGGUACUGACGCUGAGACGCGAAAGCGUGGGGAGCGAACAGG
rnacentral:rRNA from 1 species